AAUAUAUUCUAAACUAAAAUUGGAGUGACCCAAAGAAGAUGAGUUUGACCCCAGGACAAGGAUGAUGUGCAAAUUCCUGAAGGGUUCUAUUUUUUU
ensembl:snRNA U6 U6 spliceosomal RNA